rnacentral:ncRNA from 1 species
AACGUUUUGGUCCUAGACUUACUAUUAUUUAAUACUCACCUUACACAUGCAAGUAUCCGCACCCCAGUGCCUAUGCCCACACCACCAGGAGCUAGCAUCAGGCACAUCUUACAGAUAGCCCACAACGCUAAGCCAACGCCACAUCCCCACGGAACUCAGCAGUGAUCAACUUUAAACCAUGAGCCCAAGCCGCCAGCUUGAUUUAGGUAGAGUAUUUUAGAGCCGGUGAACCCCGUGCCAGCCACCGCGGUUAUACGGCGGACUCAAAAUAACAAACCACGGCGUAAAAUGUGACUAGAAAAAGACUUAUUAAUUGGAAUAGUCAAAAUAUCAGCGAUGCCGUAGAACGCCCACACUUUAUAGAAACCCCACCAACUUUCCAACACCUUAAGCCUCUUUGACCCCACGAGAACUAAGACACAAACUAGGAUUAGAUACCCUACUAUGCUUAGCAGUAAACCCAGGCCACUACUACAACUACCCGCCCCGCCAGAGAACUACAAGUGAAAAACUUAAAACUCAAAGGACUUGACGGUGUCUCACAUCACCCUAGAGGAGCCUGUCCUAUAAUCGAUAACCCACGCUCCACCCGACCUGCCCUAGAACUACAAGCCCAGUCUAUAUACCGCCGCCUUCAGCCCACCUUAUGAAAGAACCACAGUGAGCCCAACAGCCACCGCUAACACGUCAGGUCAAGGUGUAGCUAAUGGGCAGGAAGAGAUGGGCUACAUUUUCUAUGCAUAGAAACCAAAAACCUCAUGAACCAGAUGUCAAAAGCCGGAUUUAGUAGUAAACCGAGCAAAUCUGCUCGCUUGAACCGUGCCCUGAGACACGUACACACCGCCCGUCACCCUCAUCACACCAACACCAAUCCCACCAUAAAUUAAACCACUACAUUAAAUAAAGAUGAGAUAAGUCGUAACAAGGUAAGCGCACCGGAAGGUGCGCUUGGACACCC